rnacentral:rRNA from 1 species
UACGGAGGGUGCAAGCGUUAAUCGGAAUUACUGGGCGUAAAGCGCACGCAGGUGGCUGAGUCAGUCGAUUGUGAAAGCCCUGGGCUUAACCUGGGAAUUGCAGUCGAUACUACUCAGCUAGAGUAUGGGAGAGGGCAGCGGAAUUCCCGGUGUAGCGGUGAAAUGCGUAGAUAUCGGGAGGAACAUCAGUGGCGAAGGCGGCUGCCUGGCCCAAUACUGACACUCAGGUGCGACAGCGUGGGGAGCAAACAGG